rnacentral:rRNA from 1 species
CCUACGGGUGGCAGCAGUGAGGAAUAUUGGUCAAUGGGCGCGAGCCUGAACCAGCCAAGUCGCGUGAGGGAGGACGGCCCUACGGGUUGUAAACCUCUUUUGCCGGGGAGCAACGGGCGUCACGUGUGGCGCCACUGAGAGUACCCGGAGAAAAAGCAUCGGCUAACUCCGUGCCAGCAGCCGCGGUAAUACGUAGGGGGCAAGCGUUAUCCGGAUUUACUGGGUGUAAAGGGAGCGUAGACGGCAAUACAAGUCGGAAGUGAAAUACCCGGGCUCAACCUGGGAACUGCUUUGGAAACUGUAUGGCUAGAGUGCUGGAGAGGUAAGCGGAAUUCCUAGUGUAGCGGUGAAAUGCGUAGAUAUUAGGAGGAACACCAGUGGCGAAGGCGGCUUACUGGACAGUAACUGACGUUGAGGCUCGAAAGCGUGGGGAGCAAACAGGAUUAGAUACCCUAGUAGUC